UCAUCAGGUAGGAUAAUCCUUACCUGUUCCUCCUCCUCAGGGAGGAGGGCAGCGAGAAAAUGAUGAGCAGAGCCCUCAUGACACGUUAUUAGCGCCUCCUGGCGGUCUAGGCCUGCAACACCCCGAUUGCUCCUAAAAAAA